GGUAGGCCUAACACAUGCAAGUCGAACGGCAGCACAGGAGAGCUUGCUCUCUGGGUGGCGAGUGGCGGACGGGUGAGGAAUACAUCGGAAUCUACUUUUUCGUGGGGGAUAACGUAGGGAAACUUACGCUAAUACCGCAUACGACCUACGGGUGAAAGCAGGGGAUCUUCGGACCUUGCGCGAUUGAAUGAGCCGAUGUCGGAUUAGCUAGUUGGCGGGGUAAAGGCCCACCAAGGCGACGAUCCGUAGCUGGUCUGAGAGGAUGAUCAGCCACACUGGAACUGAGACACGGUCCAGACUCCUACGGGAGGCAGCAGUGGGGAAUAUUGGACAAUGGGCGCAAGCCUGAUCCAGCCAUACCGCGUGGGUGAAGAAGGCCUUCGGGUUGUAAAGCCCUUUUGUUGGGAAAGAAAUCCAGCUGGCUAAUACCCGGUUGGGAUGACGGUACCCAAAGAAUAAGCACCGGCUAACUUCGUGCCAGCAGCCGCGGUAAUACGAAGGGUGCAAGCGUUACUCGGAAUUACUGGGCGUAAAGCGUGCGUAGGUGGUCGUUUAAGUCCGUUGUGAAAGCCCUGGGCUCACCUGGGAACUGCAGUGGAUACUGGGCGACUAGAGUGUGGUAGAGGGUANCGGAAUUCCUGGUGUAGCAGUGAAAUGCGUAAAGAUCAGGAGGGACAUCCA
rnacentral:rRNA from 1 species